rnacentral:rRNA from 1 species
GACGAACGCUGGCGGCGUGCUUAACACAUGCAAGUCGAACGAAGUGGCGAACGGGUGAGUAACGCGUAAUCAACCUGCUCUUCAGCGGGGGACAACAGUUGGAAAGGACUGCUAAUACCGCAUACUGAAGGAGGGGAUUGCGUGGGAUUAGCUAGUUGGGGGGGUAACGGCCAACCAAGGCGAUGAUCAGUAGCCGGUCUGAGAGGAUUAACGGCCACAUUGGGACUGAGACACGGCCCAGACUCCUACGGGAGGCAGCAGUGGGGAAUCUUCCGCAAUGGACGAAAGUCUGACGGAGCAACGCCGCGUGAGUGAUGACGGCCUUCGGGUUGUAAAGCUCUGUUAAUCGGGACGCGGUACCGGAAUAGAAAGCCACGGCUAACUACGUGCCAGCAGCCGCGGUAAUUC